UCCCUGGAGGACUAGUGGUUAGGCCACGGCGCUCUCAUGGCCCCAGCCCAGGUUCGAUUCCCAGCUAGGGAA
rnacentral:tRNA from 1 species